AGAGUUUGAUCAUGGCUCAGGAUGAGCGCUAGCUACAGGCUUAACACAUGCAAGUCGAGGGGAAACGACAUCGAAAGCUUGCUUUUGAUGGGCGUCGACCGGCGCACGGGUGAGUAACGCGUAUCCAACCUGCCCAUCACUUGGGGAUAACCUUGCGAAAGUAAGACUAAUACCCAAUGAUAUCUCUAGAAGGCAUCUGAAAGAGAUUAAAGAUUUAUCGGUGAUGGAUGGGGAUGCGUCUGAUUAGCUUGUUGGCGGGUAACGGCCACCAAAGCAACGAUCAGUAGGGGUUCUGAGAGGAAGGUCCCCCANAUUGGAACUGAGACACGGUCCAAACUCCUACGGGAGCA
rnacentral:rRNA from 1 species